rnacentral:rRNA from 1 species
UAUGGGGGGGGCAAGCGUUGUUCGGAAUUACUGGGCGUAAAGGGCUCGUAGGUGGCCAACUAAGUCAGACGUGAAAUCCCUCAGCUUAACUGGGGAACUGCGUCUGAUACUGGAUGGCUUGAGUUCGGGAGAGGGAUGCGGAAUUCCAGGUGUAGCGGUGAAAUGCGUAGAUAUCCGGAGGAACACCGGUGGCGAAGGCGGCUUCCUGGACCGAUACUGACGCUGAGGAGCGAAAGCGUGGGGGAGCGAACAGG